rnacentral:rRNA from 1 species
UACGAAGGGGGCUAGCGUUGCUCGGAAUUACUGGGCGUAAAGGGUGCGUAGGUGGCAGGGUAAGUUUGAUGUGAAAUCUCCGGGCUUAACCCGGAAACUGCAUUGAAUACUAUCCUGCUCGAGGUUUGGAGGGGGACUGGAAUUCUCGGUGUAGCAGUGAAAUGCGUAGAUAUCUGGAGGAACACCGGUGGCGAAGGCGGCAUCCUGGACCGGCACUGACGCUGAGGAGCGAAAGCCAGGGAGCAAAGCGGG